CUGCACAGUGUGUGUGUGUGUAGUGUGUAGUGCCGCAGAACUGUAUAGUGUGUGUGUGUGUAGUGCCACAGAACUGUAUAGUGUGUGUGUGUGUAGUGCCACAGAACUGCACAGUGUGUGUGAGUGUGUGUAGUGCCACAGAACUGCACAGUGUGUGUGUGUAGUGUGUAGUGCCACAGAACUGUAUAGUGUGUGUGUGUGUAGUGCCACAGAACUGUAUAGUGUGUGUGUGUGUGUAGUGCCACAGAACUGCACAGUGUGUGUGUGUGUGUAGUGCCACAGAACUGCACAGUGUGUGUGUGUGUGUGUAGUGCCACAGAACUGCACAGUGUGUGUGUGUGUGUGUAGUGCCACAGAACUGUAUAGUGUGUGUGUGUGUAGUGCCACAGAACUGUAUAGUGUGUGUGUGUGUAGCGCCACAGAACUGCACAGUGUGUGUGUGUGUAGUGCCACAGAACUGUAUAGUGUGUGUGUGUGUAGUGCCACAGAACUGUAUAGUGUGUGUGUGUAGUGCCACAGAACUGUAUAGUGUGUGUAGUGCCACAGAACUGCACAGUGUGUGUGUAGCGCCACAGAAUUGCACAGUGUGAGUGUGUGUAGCACCACAGAACUGCACAGUGUGUAGCACCACAGAACUGCACAGUGUGUGUGUGGUAGUGCCACAGAACUGUAUAGUGUGUGUGUGUGUAGUGCCACAGAACUGUAUAGUGUGUGUAGCGCCACAGAACUGCACAGUGUGUGUGUGUGUGUGUGUGUAGUGCCACAGAACUGUAUAGUGUGUGUAGCACCACAGAACUGCACAGUGUGUGUGUGUGUGUGUGUAGUGCCACAGAACUGUAUAGUGUGUGUGUGUGUAGUGCCACAGAACUGCACAGUGUGUGUGUGUGUGUGUGUAGCGCCACAGAACUGUAUAGUGUGUGUAGUGC
rnacentral:lncRNA from 1 species